rnacentral:lncRNA from 1 species
GAAGUUGUCAAGAUAUGAACAGAAUAAGACAAAGGGGUAAGGGACUUGAUGGUAAAAAUAUUGCAAAUAGAAACUAACUCUGGGGUAAGCAUUUCAAAGGGAUGAAAAUGAGCACAGAGCAUGGCUGUUGGACAGAAACAAUAGGGAGGGGUGAAGUGAAUGGAGGUCCCAACCAGAACACAGGAGAAAUGAGACAGCAGAGAAUUGGAAGUCUAAGAAAGGAAGGUGAAUUUGGAAUCAUGGAAGUUGAUCAUGAGUUUGCCUUUCACCAGUUUCACAUUUUUGGGAUUGAAACCAAGACUCAAGAAAAAGAAGUAACUUACCCAAGGUUACACAUGAUGUCAUGAGCAGAGUUAUAUUUUGAAACUUAUAUGAACUCUUCAUUUUAUGGUAUUGCCAUUAGUCUUAUUUAAUGGAAUCUUAGAAUUUCAAAUUUGAAACAGAACUUGGACAUCAUUCAAGUUGAUUCAAUGAAUGUUUAUUGAAUUAAAUUAUGGUAAUCACCUAAUUUAAAUCAUUAUUCUUGGCCUCUUUCCUCCUGUCUUUCUUGGAAACAGAGGGAUGUUGAUCGCUGCUCCCUAUACAGUAUCUAGUCAUCGUAGCACUGGACAUAUAUCAGUGGAGUGAUCUGAGAGGCAAUAGAGGGACUCUAUCUUACUCUUGUUGAAUCAUGAGACCUAAAAUUCUUCCACUAGAGAGUCAUUCCUUUAUGAUUUAAAUGAUUUAAAACAAGGUAUUCGGUCCAAAUGAAAGUAUUUCUAGAGAACUCUCCGUUCACACUUACUGGGGAUUAAGCUGUUCGUUUUGAGAAAGGCAGGAAGAAGUGGAAUAUGAGGUCUAGAGAACAGAACAUGUUAUAUGGGUGAGAAAUGGCUUGAGUGGCACAUUCUAGUAUGGACUCCAGGGCAGGAAGGAGGCAAUAUGAGGUCUUAUUUGGGGAAGGAAGAGUCUUCCUGAGAGAUUAUGGAUGAGUUUGAAAAGGAUGUUGAAGGGUAAGGAAGAUCAGGUUCUCCUAAAUACACUACUAUUUUGCUUAGAGUUCUGACACUUUUAACUCUUUCUCCUUAGAAUGAAUGGAGGACCAUUCACAGACAAUGGACGUCAGAUUCAUGUAUUAAAAUAUAAAUAAUAACAAUAAUAGUGGAUUGGUUAGGAUUAAUACAGUGCUUUAAGUCUCACAAGACAAUUCAUAUAUUUUAUUACAUUUGAUUUCCACGGCAUCUCUCUGAGGAAGAUGCUAUGUAUUCAGCUAAUAUAUAUGAUAUAAAUCCCUCAGUUUAUAGGUCAGGAAAAUAAGGUUAAGUGAUUUACUUAGGGUCAGACAGUUAGCAAAAGUCUGAUAGGAAUUCAAACUCGGGUUUUCCUUACUCGAAUAUAUAUUGACAUAUAUCUUAACACUUUCUUUUGUUUAAAAAGAAUAAUACACAGCCAGAUGGGAAUUGCCAUGAUGAUUACAUGCAAAUAUAUUUUGUGCAACCCUGAAAAGGGCUGUGAAACUAGAGUGUUCAUAGUGGGACCUAAUCCAUGUGAGCCGAGAGUGCUUGGAUGGUUAGAAGUGGAGCCCAUCAUUGGCCAUCCCCCAUGGAAGAUCGAAUUCAGCUGUGUGGUCUCAGCUAUGUAGGCUUACCUUAGGCACCAUCUAUAGGACAGAGCCGUAAUCAUCCCCAAGUCCCCCUCUUCAUAAGAAGUGGGGCUGGGGCGGGAGAACAGGAUCAUGGACCUGCAUUCCAAUCCAUAGCCAUGCCAUGGGAGCCCUUAUUGCCUUCCUUAGCAUGUUAGGAGCCGGAGCCCUUUAAAGCAAACAGAAAAGCGUCAUGGAAUAGGUUGAUAGCACUCUUUAAGAUACUGUAAACUUCUUAGGGGAGGAUGAAAAAUAAGGGAUAACUAGAAAAGGAAGGAGAAAGAGAAGAAUGGCAGCAACAAGAAAAAUCCAUCCUGAGGAUGGCAGCCUAGAAGAAUGGAUCUGGACACUAAAAAUGAGAUCAAUCAGAGGAAUGUCAGGGAGGAAUUUAUUUUCUUUCUACAUUAUAUUAUGAAACUUAUUUUUUCCUUUAGGUAUUUAUUUGACUCUAUCUUCAGUUCAGGUGUGGGUUGAACCUCCAGAGCUUUUCUUCAUUGUCCUGCCCCAAUGGAGUCUGCCAGAGAUCCUUUUGAAAACAAGGGCUGUAGGGAUAGUCAUUAAGUGUGAUUGAAUAUUUUUUUAAUGAGAAAUGAGUCAAGUAUUAAAACAAUAAUGAUGCUAAUAAACUACCUUUGUAAAUAACUUCA